CAUUUUGGCGUCGCCCGAUGUUAUGCCGAGUUUUGCCUGCCUACCGAGAAUUGCAUGCAUCCCAAAUAAUGCUUGUAAACGCUGUAAUAUUCUUUGUGGGCUUCAUCAAUGCUUCCUUCUCUUCACACUCUUCAAGAGUCCUCCUGGUCCACUUCAUACUGGGAGAAACAGUCAACGGGUAUUAAACUUUAAUGAUAGGAGGGGGUUAUGGACGCCGAUUUUAUCAGGGGAGCUAUUAGAUUUUGGUAAAUACUCUUAAAACCUUAUGUCAUAAUCUUCGUGGUUAGUAUAUUUGGUAAACCAGGAAAAGGCACUUUUAUGACCGUAGUUUGGCUUCAGGUGUUGGACAUGAACCUGCUGGGCUGUGGAAUUGAGGACGGAAGGGUUGAAAAGGCCCAUAAAAACCUCAGAUGAAAAGAGAAGAAAAUCGUGGCAGGUGAAACUCAUUAGGCUGAAUCCCACUCAGGUGUGUCUGUUCAGUGGCCCUGCUGUACACCUGGCCAUCAUUCAUGUGAUCACCUGUGCUCAUGGGGGAAAAGAUCCAUCGGCCACUACGCUGCUAAUGAUAUGUAAUACACUAUAUGGACAAAGCUCCAUAAAGAAAUGGUUUAACCCAGUUUGGUGUGGAAGAACUUGACUGGCCCGCACAGAGCCCUGACCUCGACCCUAUCCAGCACCUUUGGGAUGAACUACAACGGAGACUGCGAGCCAGGCCGUCAUGUCCAACAUCAGUGUCUGACCUCACAAAUGCUCUUCUGGAUGAAUGGGCAGAAAUUCUCACAGACACACUCUAAACAGCCUGUAGAAAGCCUUCCCAGAGGAGUGGAAGCUGUUAUAGCUGCAAAGGGGGGAUGGCUAUGGAUUUAUAAUAGGAUGUUACAGUAAUGUGUUCUUCCUCUGCACUUCCAGGAGUCACCAGCUGGGGGCGUCCACGGCUUCCUGUACGCCAUGUGCAGCCUCUCCUCCUCCGGCACAGAAAAAGAAAGAGCAGCUGCUUCUCACAUCACCAGCCUUUGCUCUGUCAUCCCCCCCCUCCUCCUCCUCCCUCCUCCUCCCUCCUCCCUCAGGAAAGGGGAGCGCCACACCCUGCCAGCCAAUCAGAGCUCGGCUCCACCUUCUCCAUCACCUCAUCUCAGUUUCCAAGUGGGAUUGCCACAACAUCAAAGGCACCUCCCUCCCUCCCUCUCUCUCCCUCUCUCUCUGCAUCCUCCAACAUCCGACACUCAGGAAGAGAAGAAGAAGGGAACGAGAUGGACUAAAGGAGAAGAAGAAGAGAUGUG